rnacentral:lncRNA from 1 species
CGGCCCUUUCCUUAUUUGGGGGCGAGGUCUCAAAAGGGAAAGGGGUGCAUGUACGCGUUUCACAAGCGAGACAAUCAUAACAAUACAUAACUGAAAGAGUGACAAGUAGGGCAUACACUUGCCAUCUGAUAAGAACAUAGUCAUAUAGUCAUACAUGCACACUUAUUCGGAACAUGGAAUGGUCCAGCUAUGGACAAGAUAAAAACAGAUAAAGCUAUGAUAUCCUGCAUGCUAGGCCCACGAUCAUGACCACGGCCUCUAGUCCUCCGGAUAAGUCACGUACAGUCUGCCGCUGUCCUCAUCGAACUCCCACUUCAACUGGCUGUCAUCGAGAUCUCCUGCAUCAGUGGUACUUGUACCUGUGGGUGUUUGUAGUAAAUCGUGAGCCACGAGGACUCAGCAAUCGAAUGACCUUGGUAUCGAAUCUAGCCGAGUUAAUGGGUGAGGAAGGUUAAGUGUAUGGGUUUGCAGCAACCUAAGCUUAUAUGGUGGUUAUCUUACGAUGAUCAGAGUUAACAUAUGGUGUUCUACACAAGACGGUCGAAGGCUAGGUUGAUCACUGAGUGAUCCUGAACACCUACUUACGUCAAUCAUAACCCCACCGUGUUCUCGAUCAGAGAAGGAGCUCUGAAGGAGACAGUCACAGUUAUGCACUCAGUUGGCAGUUUUAUUAGAAUUACUUAAAGUUGUCUAGAACGGGAUGUUAACAAAAUAUCCAUGUUUGCCACAUAACCGCGGGCACGGCUUUCUGAAAGAUUAAACCCUGCAGGGGUGCUCCAACUAGUCCAUCACAAAUUACCACAGGCCGCAUAGUAAUCCUCUACCACAAAUCUUGUGAUCUCGUCGGAUUUUUGGAGGAAAACCUCAACUUUGAGAAGACCCAAAGUCUCACCGGAAUCCCAAUGCGCAAGAUAUAUUGCUAAGGUAAGACAAAUCUGGCAAGACCUCCCAACGUGUCGACGAUCCCGAUAGGAGUCGCGUAUCUCGUUCUUAGGACACGACGGAUAAGCGACGUGUGUAGUGGCGUGAUAGAAAUCGCUCAAAUUGCCCUGAGUUGGCCCCGCGCAGUGCUCUAGUUUGGACCAACACUCAUGAGGAGCAUUGGCCCGGGGGUUGAUUAGAUCCCUCGGGGUAGCUAUUCCCUAUGCAUUUAAUUAUUAAGUUAUUAGCAAAUUAAAACCAAAGUUGGGUCCUGCCAGACAAGUCUUAACACUAUACGAUUUAUCAAAGGGGUCCCCGAACGUGUUAGGAGCUCUCAGUUAUGGAAUAAAAACACUGGUAGCUUAAACUAAGGUGGCAACAACGGAACAAAUCACCCGACAAAAGGCUAGGCCUUCCGUUAUUUCCAAGUAUAUAGGUGCAUUAAUUAAAUGGCAGUUAAAUAUAAUGAUAUCAAAUUGCCCAUGUUAUCACAUGGACCGGUUGGCACCUACAACUAGCAACGCUAACAAUUAGUGGUUGAGCAAGCCUACUUAGCCAAACAAUAUUUCCUAGGAGGGGAGGUGUUUGAGGUUUCAUGGCAAAGUUUGAUGGCCUAUAUAUCAUGUGGUAGGCAUCGGAGAUGUAACGACGGAAACGUAACACUAAGCAUAACAAAGCUAGAAAUGGUGUCAAGGUCAUGAUCAUCUUGCCUAUGAUUUCUUCAGACUGGAACUGCUCUUGUUCUUCCUACACGAACUCUCCGGGCUCCUCGUACUCGUUUGUGGCCCCGAUAACUACCCAAAAGAAACAACAUCUAAUAAACACCAGCAGCAAAUGAUGCAACAAACAACAAUAUGCAUGCAUGCACUGCUCCAAACAAGCACAUGAUAAUAGCCCUACAACGAUAAAUCUAUUGCCACCUCACCACGAGGGGAUUUUCUACAGAGAUGCUCAAAAUCAAAAACCAGCAACACCAUUGGAAUCAUUGGGAUUUUCUACCCCAAAUCCAUAAAUCAUACUGCCACCUUUGCAUACAGAAAAACAUCACAACUUGUAAAAGAAUAAAAGCACAUAAUCGAACUACAACACUUAUUCAAGAACAUGGAUUGUUCUUGAGCCAGCCCAAACUGGCAAGUCCAAAAUAGGCAAUUCCAUUUAUGCACAUAUUCAAAAAUGGAAUUAACACAUACAUAAAAAAGUGAUAGGGGGGCCACUGGUCAUAGACACCACGGGCCCCUAAUGCAUGAUAGGUGGGCCCUGUGGCCCACGUGUCAGUGGCGCACUACUACAAAUAGCAAAGAAAAUAAAUUGGGAGUAGUGGGGGUCAAACCCACCACUCGGCUACGCGCGGGUAGCUGUUCAAACAGAGGCAACAAUCUAGGUAAGGUAACACUCCAACUAAUCCACCGGACGAAGGAAAAACAGAGGAAAAAGAGGGGGGUUGUGGGGAUCGAACCCUCAACCUCUCGGUUGCAACCCCGAGGGUGUUGCCACUGAACUAGCAGGCAGGUGCUGCUAGAACAGGGGCUCGAGAUCACUUAGCCUCACCUCUCGGGUCUUCUUCUACCUGUCAGGUGACCGAAGAAGAACGCCGGCAGAAGCAAGCGGGGCUACUCCCGGUGAGGUGGGGAAUCGGCGGGGCUGCAGGACUCCGAGGGGAAUCCAUUCCCGACGCAAGCACGCGAGAAGGGAACCCGCUGCAUCUGCCCAACUACUGCUACUGAAGCCGGCGAGCGAUCUACUGAAACUGCACAGGCCUGAAGCUGCCGCUCUGCUGCCUGCGGUGCGGGCUGAUGCGAGGAACGCCGGCGACAAGAGGGAGCCCGCGCACGCGCAGCUGCUGCGUGCUGCGCUCGUGACAUGCAUGCGCUGCUGCUGUUGCUACUACGCAUGUUGCUGCUAACUACUGUCGCUACGCUACUGCUCUGAACCGGCUGCUGCUGCUCGAGAACGAACAACACCGGCGACGCUACACUGCACGAGCGGGGCUGUAGAGGAAGGGUGACGGUGAAGGAAAAGGAGUUGCGCUCACCCAAGCACGAUGAGGAGAAGGAUCGGCCCGACGGAGAGGAAGAAGAGGCAAGGCGGGGCCAGAGACCCGUUGCUCCGCUCCGGCGACGACGACGCGGGGCCGACGCUAGGGAGGAGGAUCCCACCUCCUAGCGACGAAAAUGGAACGGGGGAGGAUCCAGCAUCCUCCCUGCGCUCUUGAUCUCCCCAGAGGAUCUGCCGGGGACGAGGGGGAAGGGUGGCGACCGGAGGCGUUGUUCUCUCUGAACCUGAACUACUGAAUCUUCAGAGUCUUACGUGAGAAAGGGGAAGAAGAUGGAGAAGAAGGAGAUGGCGGCGGGGAGAGGGAACCCUAGGAGAGCCGCAGGGUGGAGAAGGGUUGGGGAGGCUCUUAUGGCCCUCGGGAUGCGUGCUUGGAGCCGCAAGAUCAAGGAGGCGAGGGAAUCGGUGGUGGCCAUGGCAU